UCAACUCCGGACCUCCCAAUAGCCGAGCCAGUAGUUGAUACAGUUGAAGAGCCUCAAGAUGAUGUGGAGCCAGAAUCAGAGCCAGAAGGAGAUGGAGUAAUUCCACAGGACAACCCUGCUGUGCCUAGGAGACCACGGCGGACAAGGGAAAAGCCUGCAUGGAUGCGAAGUGGACAAUUUAUUAUGAGAAAUCAGUCACUGGUCGAAGAGCCUGAUUGGAAACAGAGGGCAAAGUUUCUGACAGAACUUGUGGAUACAGGGAUUCUUGCAGAAAAGAAUGACCAGGUUAUGUCUACAUUGCUUCAGAUCCUUUCUGGAAAGGUUACAUAGCUACUUGUAUAAUAUAUCCAGUAUAUACAACUUUGAUUUAUUUUCACAUGUUUAGGAUGCUUAUUACCUGUUGUACAUCUCUUGUCGAGGACGACAUUUUUCGAAGUAGGGGAGAAUGUAACAGGGUCUAAUUUUAUUAGUUUUUAUCAUUUUAUAUAUUAAAUGUGAUAUUUGUGUUCAGAUGUCUGUUUAAAUGUGCCCAGAUUGUAUUGUGUAUGUGUUUGUCGUUUAUUGGUGUUACAUGUUACAGGGUGUGAUGUUUUGUGUUCUCUGUGUUAUGUCUUGCUGUAUUUUGUGUUACAGUUUACACCCUGUGAUCUAAGUCCAAAGUCUAUGUCCUUUUCUUGUGUUUUAUUGGUCACUAUUUUUAUUUCCUUUGUUGGUCAGUUUUGGCGGGAAUGCUAUUGUUAGGGUAGUUAGACUCCUGUCGGUCAAGCUGACCACAAGUAUAUUUUCCUGGUUCAAGAUUUUAGACAGGUUAAAAAUAUAUUGAAAGAGAAAGAUAUUGACAGAGAACUUGGAAGUAUUGUGUAGGAUGGCUCUGUGCCACACACAGAGUGACUACCGGUACAUUACAUUCCAUUCCAUUCCUUUCCGUAUUGGUUCUCGUUCGUGUCCACGUUUUGUACAACAUGUGCUGUGUGUAAUACCUGGUCGAAACUCUUCAGAAUAAAGAACUCAUCAUCUUA